rnacentral:precursor_RNA from 17 species
UCAGAAAGGCGAAAGAUGGUGGCCUCUGUGGUGCAUUGUAGUUGCAUUGCAUGUGCCAGCGAUGUUGUGCAAUGUGUCUGCAGUGCAAUGCAAAGGUGUACCCUGCGCAUCGAGACGUGG